UCACACGUUAAGGUAUAAUGGAUUGAAAAAAUUAAAUCAAGGAAAAGAAAAUGACACAGCGUAGAUCAGAAUAAUUAUUUCAAGAUUGUAUAUAUUAUCAAAAUAGCAUGGAAUUCAUCAUCAGGGGAAAGAGAUCAAAUGUUACAAUUAACAUCUCAAAGGUGCAAACCUUUUCCAGACCAAUCAUACGCAUGUCAUAGACUAAAAGUGCAGCAUAAAUGCUGGGUGGAAGGCUGAAAGCUAUCAAAAUUUGCCCUAAGAUACUACAGUUAGUCUGGAGAUCAGAAUAAUUAUUUCAAGAUUGUAUAUAUUAUCAAAAUAGCAUGGAAUUCAUCAUCAGGGGAAAGAGAUCAAAUGUUACAAUUAACAUCUCAAAGGUGCAAACCUUUUCCAGACCAAUCAUACGCAUGUCAUAGACUAAAAGUGCAGCAUAAAUGCUGGGUGGAAGGCUGAAAGCUAUCAAAAUUUGCCCUAAG
rnacentral:lncRNA from 1 species